UCUGCUCAAUGAAAAUUAAAUAGCCGCAGAUAUUUCUGUGCUAAGGUAGCAUAAUCAUUUGUUUUUUAAUUAAAAACUAGAAUGAAAGAUUUAACGUUUUAAUUUCUUUAUUAUUAAUAUAUUUUAAAAUUAUAUUAAAUAUAAAAAUAUAUUUAUAUAUAAAAUAGACGACAAGACCCUAUUAAACUUUACUAUUAGUUAAGCUGGGGCAGCUAAUUAAUUAUAAUUUUAAUUUAUAUUCUAUUUUUAAAAAAUUUCCAAUUUUAUUGAUUAUUUAAACAAGUUACUAUAGGGAUAACAGCAUAAUAUUAUUUUAAAGUUCAUAUUAAAAAUAAUGUUUAUGACCUCGAUGUUGAAUUAUUAUUCUAUUUAACGCAAUAGUUAAAAAAGUAGGUCUGUUCGACCUUUAAUAUAUUACA
rnacentral:rRNA from 1 species